GUCAUACAUGGUAUCAAACAUUUUAUCAAUCAACAUCUUUUGCCAGUCAUCUCAUUUCCACUUAUUACUCAAUGCAGUACAAUGGAUCAAGCAGUCUCAUUAGCUGCGAGAAGCAGACGAUUCGAAUCGAGUUUUUAUCCUUGCAAGGUAAACCUAAACACACGACAUGUAGGGGCACUCCGUCCCCACACACAUCAACCGUCCCCAUCGAUUCCCCGUCAGCAGAUCAGGGCUCACCGCCUUGGCGUACAAUGCCUCACUGACCCCGACUGCCGUCGUGCAGUGACCGCACUUGUACCCACCAUAACCGGAAUGGGAGACCACGUCUCAGGUCGCGUGAGGGGCAAAGUCUACUGCCAGGUUCAAUCAGGUACUAGGCUUACCGAUUUACCAUAUUUCUCGGCAUGUGCUUAGUACGUUCAAACGCUUGACACAGGUAUCCGCACGUUAAUCCUUAUUCCAAUUUCAUCUCGUAGACCACGCAUCCCCAUGGAUCCGUGUCCACAGACCAACAUCAGUAUGAUAUGAAAGUGGGUACAAUCAAUGUCCUGUCCUCGCGCGAGUGCUAGAAAAUCACUCGACUUCUACCGAGAUCCCUAAUUAGCAAAGCAACUACUCGACCUAGCAUACUAGUAUCCAUUUCAAAGGAAAUCCUGAGGUAAUGCAACUAGGGUUUCAGGCAACUCCUACACUUAAGUGCACAAUACAAGCCUACAAACAUUAAGUGCAGUAAAAUAGCAUAUAUAACGGUUAUGCAUAAAACCGGGGCUUGCCUUUAAUUUGACACUUAGAUAGUGUUUGCUGGGGGAGGUACUCGCUUGGCGAGCAUCCACGGGUUAAGUUCAUUCUUCAGGUCGUCCACCAACGGCUUCUUGUGGUUGGCACCACAUCACUGGCACGAUCAUCAUCUCUCGGUCCUAAAUGAGAUGCAGGAUGCAUAUGUAUGAAUAUGAUGAAAUAUAUCACAAGAUAAUCCCAAAAUGGACGGUAGCGAACUAAACAUUAAAUUGUAAAACACCGCGACAACUGUACGCAAGCGCUAGUUAUCUAUACGUCAUCGGGCAUACGCAGUCAAUCAUCACUGGAAAACAACAAACACUUCCUAUAAUUAUCUAUUGCAAACAGGACAUCAUAAGCACAAGCAUUUACCAUGUUCACUUUAAUCAUUUAUUAGUUACUCUAUUAUUAAACUACUUUAGGCACACAUACAUUUACUGUGACUUCUAAACAUCAUACAAACAAUUUAGUUUAAUAGGGAAUAAUCACUUAAUUGGGUUCUACUAACAUUCUCAAUAUUCUAAUGCAAGCACACGCCCAAGAUAACACAUAGAAGAUGUUAGCCUAAUCACACUGCUUCUUAUACUAGUCUAAUGAGGUUGGUUAUUUAGCAAUAUUAGAUUUGCCAUGCAAGUAUUAAAAAUGGUAACAUCUCGUUUAUUGUGUUUCUUAUCCAUAUAACGACACUUGCUAAAAUAACGUUGAUUGAAGCUGAUUACAUCCUAGACUUCAACAAUUUAAUUUACUACUUAGAGAGACGUGGACUAGUUACUUACACCUAACCCAAUUAUAUUAGUUACUACCAUUGUUACUAAUAUGCACUUAAAACCAAAACAAACAAGCAGUCACUCAAGACAAACACAACAUAGUAGAGUAACCAAUCAUAAUCAAUCAUGACUAAGACAGCAGCACAACAGUUACUUGUUUCAGUCAUAACUCACAAGAUAUUUAUCCAAACAAAGUGAUCUUACACUUUAUGGAAAGCUAAUUAAAUGUUCUACAAAUUAUUUAUAAACAUCCCUGGCUAGUUUAAUAUGUAUCAAGGGUAAAAUACACUAUGAAGGUUGUGCUGUCCAGAACUGGACAGAUUCAGUCUUCACACUUUAAACAUCCAUAACUUAAUCUUCAGAUCACCAAAAAAAGUGAUCCAAGACUUUUUGGAAAGCUCAGCAAAAGAACUACAUAACUUUUAUAAUCACCAAGAAGUGAUUCUAUGUUUAACUGAAUCAAACAAUUCAGUUUUCGAAAUCUGUUUUGUCAGGGGACAUAACACAACAAUCAGUUUGUAAAAUUCAUAACUCUUAAACUAUCAGACCUAUGGUUAUGAAAUUUUAACACAAGCAAGAUAGCAAAAACAUAUACAACUUUCUUAUAACAACCAUGAACAUAUUGUAACAUUAACUUAAGCAAACAAUUCAAUCUCUGAAAUCUGUACAGAAAUUGGGGACAGAUUCAGUUACUGAAUUUGCGAAAAGCACAACUUCUAAACGAUCAGACUUAUGUCUGUCAAAUUUUAACACAAGUAAGUUAAUAAAGUUAUCUACAACUUUCUUGUGACCACUAAUAACUGAUUUCAACAUUAACUUAAGUAACCAUUGCAAUCUCUGAAAUUUGUUCAGAAUUUAGACAGAUUCAGUUAAUGAUCUUGUGAAAGACAUAACUUCUAAACCAUCAAUUCUUAGCUCAUGAAUUUUUAGGACGAGCUAGAUACACAAGUUAACUACAAUUUUUAUAUAGCAUAUAUCUACAGAAAGUAUACUUUACUUUACUAGAUUACUCACACAACCAAAAAUAUACACGCAUGAAUUUCAGUUUGCUAGCAAAAGAGCACUUAACUAAAUCACCAAGCAAACUCAUAGAGAGAUACUAUCACCAAUUUCUGAAGUUAAAAUCAUUAUGGCCUAGUUGUAAAGUUUUAAUUUAUAUGAAGACACUUAAACAUUUCAAGAAACAUGCACGCCUUUGUUUACUUCUAAUUUGUCUCUAAUUCUUCUUAUAAUUAUAAAAUGGGUGUUAUUUUAGCACCAUAUGAAAGUACCUAAUUUAGGGCUGGAAUUUUUAUGAGGCAAAGGUAAUAACUAUUUAUGACUAAUGUAUAAAUUUCACAUGCCCAGGUUUUAUAUUUUAUUUACUACAAAAAUAACAAACUGUUAAUGCAAUAAAGAUUGUGAGAGCAAGUUAAUUCUAAAAUUAAUUAUUUUCUGUGGAUGCAUGAUCAUAUUGAGUUUUCUUAGGCUACUAUAAUACCAUGCAAGUACAGUAGAACACCAUUUUCCAUUUUUGCAUCUAUACAUUAUUUUUAAAUCAUUUAAAACUACUUAAGGUGCAUUAAACAAGUUAAAUCACUAACUUAAUCAUACAUGCACAACAAUUCAUAAAAUAUUUACCAGUCACCAAGCAUCACAACAAGAGUCUACUGUAAAAAUUUGAAUCCAUUUGGAGCACUAGAGCUACAAAUCUAAAAAUAACAAGCAAAACAAUAAUCUUUUUCCUAUUUAACAUGUUUAAAUUAACACACCAAGAAAACAGUGAAUAACCUACAAGUUUUAUAUUUUUCUUAGAUGGAGUAUGACAAUAUUUAACUAACAAAACAAGUUUCACCACAUAAAACUAUGGAGAGAAGCAAGUUCAUUUAUUCUCUAAACCAGUUUUUAAAUACGAAUUUCUACAGAAAACCUUUUCCACUAAAACAUACCAACAUAUAGAUCCAAUAGUUAGAGCAUUUUAUAAGGAAGCCAACAAAACAAGUUUCACGAUUUUAGGAGCUCUAAAACUCGAGAUAUGAAUUUUUGAACACAACACAAAAAUUUGCAACUUGUGUACUCAAAUCUCGCCUUGGGCCCACCUGUCAUAGGCUCAUGGGGUCUUCUUCUACCUCACGUUCACAGCCUUCUCACGAACAGAGAGGCCAACGAGCAGCGCUCUGGCCAAGGUCGCGCAGGAGGGAGUUUGGCUGGCCGUCUACCUUGGACGCGGCCAUGGAGGGAUCUCCAUCGCGCGCGCAGUACCAGAGGCGAGCUUGCUGCUGGGCUAUGGGCGAGGCAGGGAGCGCCAUGGCCAUGGAGGAGCUCGGAGAGGGCGCCAUGGGAGCCGAUCCCUGCUGCUGGAGGUGGAAGAAAGGGGCGCCACGGGAGAGAGCUCCCUGCUCCUACGCUUAACCAGAGAAGGGGAGGAGAGGAGAAGAAAUGGUGUGAGGGAGAAGGGAGAGGGCAGGGGCUGCCAUUUAUUGAGCUGGAGCUCUGGACAUGUCAGGUGGCAGUGAGCAGUGGCAGGUGGACAAAUGUUGACAUUGGGCGGCCAUUUUUGGCGUUUUCUGUUUGUUUUCGGACCUUGGUCGCUGUAGAAGAUUUCUUCCUUGAUGUACACUCUACAAAUCUUGUAUAGAGAUUGAGGUGAUUCGGGCACUGGUUAGAAAGUUAUAGACCCACGAAAAUUGGUUUGUCAGUGGGUUAGAAAAUAGUGGAAACUCGUGAAAACUGAAUGUCAAAGCAUGUCAAACGGAAUCGGAUGAAUGUCAUCUUUUAAUAUGUUAUGCCUCUAUUAGUUAUUAACAACUUUUAUAUUUGGGAAAACUUAAGUUGUUCAACAAAAAUUUGGGAACGCGAGACGUCGACCCGAACGACGCUGAUUUCAGACUUAGAAGAAUUCGAAUCCUGAAAUCAGAUUUUUAUUCUAUCUUGAUGGCACUGUUUGAGGUACUUAGAGAUUGAAUCAAGGCUUGGUUUAAAUAUAAUAUUUGUUGUAUAACACAGGUUCUACAACUUUUAUCAAAGGUCAAACCUCAUAUCUUGAAUAUAAAUAAAAGUUUCACUUUGGUCAAGGUAGUAUCAUUAUAAAGCUCUCAAUUAUAUUUUUAAGGAAAUCAGACUAUUUUCUUGACAUUUUCUUGGCAUGGACCCUCAAUAACUUUUGUUGUAAAGUUUAUAUGGAGUGUUUUGGAAAGGUUGGCAUAACUUGGUUGAAUGUCUAAAUUUGCUUUUACUUAAUCAGCAGUUUCAAGCAAACGUAUGAUUUAUAAUUUCAUAUAAAUAUUUGGUUCAAACUUUGAGAAAUCUUUAGAAUACACUUGAUAGAUAUAGAUGAAUGAUGACAUAAAUAUAACAAGAUGAAUUGCAUAAGAAAUAAUUAGAGGUUUACACUACAGAGAUUCCGCUGGAGAAUGUGGAUUCGGAUUAAGUACUUGGACGUAGACCGACUACCGAGAAAGCGGAUUCGAACACCGAUUGGAUAACAUAACAACUAUCGAGAGUCCGAAUAAAUGAGUUUGGACGGGAGUUGCGAGACAAGAUUGACUUUCAAAUUUGGGUUUGCUCCGAGAAACAAAAAGUUUUAACAGGCUCCAAAUUUGGUUGUUCUUGAGAUCGAAUAAUUCCAAACUUGGUGAAACAUUUAUGAGUAACUUGAUGAAUGAAGAUAGAUGUGAUCAAGAAAUAGAAAUUUUCACUGAGCAUCCGAGAUUAGGAUAAAUCUCCCGAUAUAACACGAAAUAGACACCUGGGGUGUCACAGCCUUCCCUCCUUAAAAAGAAUCUCGUCCCGAGAUUCGAAUGAGGAUAUUUAAGGGUGGAGAAGCAUGUAACUCCCAGACUGAAGAUAGAUGCAAAUUCAUGAGAGGGUAUCUGACAAGAUACUGAAGACGGAUUUGGUUAGAAUAUCGUGACAUAUCGAGACAAAAUGCAGCGAUCAUUCUGAGAGUGUCCACAAAAGAUAGCACAUCGGUGUAGUCUUAUAAUGGAUCACAACUAUUAACCGUGAUACCAGCGCGUACCGAGCAGCUGAACCAUGUGUGCACCAUAGUAGGCUCUCGGUUUCAUCGCGGCACCAUCAGUCGUUAGUCAUGACACCAUUACCAAACAUAACCAAUGAAAAAUUUAUGUGGCUUAAAUUAGAUGGAGCCCAUGAGAAUAUGGCUCAGAAAAUGUGACUGAAGUUGAGGCAAAGAUUGUUGGUAAAAGAGCAUCACAUGAGAAUUUUCUUCAACUCAGAGAACUAUUUUAUGAUCAUCACGGGGAUUAUCAGCCAAAGAUUGAUACGAUUUUCAAUAUGAGGAGGAACCAACCAUGAGAUCAAGAUUGAUGAGUUUUUAGAGACAUGAGAGAACUAAAGUCAACAGCAUAAUCCAUUGAACCAAAUGGAUCCACUGCUUAGAGAUAAAAUCGAUAAAACAGCGUCAUAAUCCUCAGAUAAGGGGGUAUGAGAAUGAUCAGAAAUGGGAGGUUUAGGCGAGAUCAACAUCUGAUACUUGAGAACAGGUUAUAGGAGAUAACCAGACAAUAGGGCAGAAUCAUUAAAGGAUCCUGAGAUUUGGGUGAUAAGGCCACAACAUGAAUCACAAGGAAAAUGAUUACCAGAUUCAAGCGAAAGGAGAGGUAGGCAAAUAGGAUCAGCUAGGAUGAUCAACAGAAAUGCUAUGAAGUUUUGGAUUAAGGAUUUACAGAAAGAAACAUGGCUGGCAUAUGGUUUGCGCAACUAGAUCCAACAACAAUUUUUUUUGACACGACAAGUGCACAGGGAGACUUGGGUUGGUCUAGCGGUCAAGCUAUGGGGUUCUCUAAGCUGUGCAGGUGUAAAUUCAAUAGUGCAACACACAAGGGCUACAAAAUACCAACACAAGCAUGAUUUUUUUAAAGAGGUUUCACUUGCUAAACUCAAUGUUGUUUGGAGGGGGGGGUCUUUUUAUGAACAGAACAAGCAAUAAACUUUUUUUGGCAAGGAGGGUUGAACAAUUACAUUACCACCUAGCUAGCAAGACAAGAGAAACACAUAGCACGACCUAACAAGACUUACCAAUUUGACACGGGGUAAGGCAUUUCUUAUAGUUCCUAACAUAGCAGUACAUCACAUUAUUCACAAGUUCUUAUUAUUGGAAUAAAGGUGAGAUAAGCAUGUUGAUGCUCAAGAGACAAUUAUAAUGCGACAAUCAUGAUGCAUGUUCAUUCUAGUCGUCUUCUCAGACCUAACUAAUUUUUCGGGUGCUCCUACAGCAUCCUAAUAGUAGAAAUAGUAGCCUUUAUGGCCUAUAUAAAUAUAGCCACCUAGCUACCCAUCUAUUUCCUAAGGCUUCACGUCCUAGGUCUAACUUAUCGUCCUGGCGAUCUAUCCAUCAUCGGUUUCUAGCAAGUUUUACUUUAGAAAAGUUGGUAUUCACGAUUUAUUGAUUCAUGUUGGUAUUCGCUCCGAUACCAGCUGUGGCGGAACCGCCCGAAUUAUUCCAGCUUAAGUGCCCAAGUCGCACCCUUAAGGGCAGCAACACACUUAAACGGGAAUAACCCGUCAGUCCCUCGGAUCUAGUCCGAUAAAGCCACUUACCAGGAUCGAAUACCACUAGCUCACUCAAAGGUGAGGCACAGAGAAAUACAAUAAAACAUAAUACCACAAUUUAAUAAGUAUCAUUAGUGAUUACAUUAUCGGAGUUUCAGAAAUAAUAACCAUAAAUUUUAAUGCAGCGGAAAUAACUAACGGAGAAGAACCGAGUAACAUGGCGAAGCCUGGCCACACUACUCCUCCUGGUCCUCUCCCGCGGAAGCAAUAACCCACUCGACCAUCUAUCCCGGUGGCAGGGAUGAAGGCCAAGUCACAUCAUCAACCAAUCAUCCUAAGGAGUACCUGCAAAAAUUAUGCCACAAGCAAGGCUGAGUAUACUAAUACUCAGCUAGACUUACCCGGUGUGAGGAGUCUACUCCUCUACCUCUAGACAUGCAGCUGUUUGGCUGAGGGGUUUGGUUUGUCAAAAGCACUAGCUGAGUCUAAAAUCAAGUUUUAGCUUUUCAAGUUUUAGUAUGAUCCUCUUUACUAGAUGUGUACCUAGCUAGUCAUACAUGGUAUCAAACAUUUUAUCAAUCAACAUCUUUUGCCAGUCAUCUCAUUUCCACUUAUUACUCAAUGCAGUACAAUGGAUCAAGCAGUCUCAUUAGCUGCGAGAAGCAGACGAUUCGAAUCGAGUUUUUAUCCUUGCAAGGUAAACCUAAACACACGACAUGUAGGGGCACUCCGUCCCCACACACAUCAACCGUCCCCAUCGAUUCCCCGUCAGCAGAUCAGGGCUCACCGCCUUGGCGUACAAUGCCUCACUGACCCCGACUGCCGUCGUGCAGUGACCGCACUUGUACCCACCAUAACCGGAAUGGGAGACCACGUCUCAGGUCGCGUGAGG
rnacentral:lncRNA from 1 species